GAUGAACGCUGGCGGCGUGCCUAAUACAUGCAAGUCGAACGAACAGACGAGGAGCUUGCUCCUCUGACGUUAGCGGCGGACGGGUGAGUAACACGUGGAUAACCUACCUAUAAGACUGGGAUAACUUCGGGAAACCGGAGCUAAUACCGGAUAAUAUAUUGAACCGCAUGGUUCAAUAGUGAAAGACGGUUUUGCUGUCACUUAUAGAUGGAUCCGCGCCGCAUUAGCUAGUUGGUAAGGUAACGGCUUACCAAGGCAACGAUGCGUAGCCGACCUGAGAGGGGGAUCGGCCACACUGGAACUGAGACACGGUCCAGACUCCUACGGGAGGCAGCAGUAGGGAAUCUUCCGCAACGGGCGAAAGCCUGACGGAGCAACGCCGCGUGAGUGAUGAAGGUGUUCGGAUCGUAAAACUCUGUUAUUAGGGAAGAACAAAUGUGUAAGUAACUAUGCACGUCUUGACGGUACCUAAUCAGAAAGCCACGGCUAACUACGUG
rnacentral:rRNA from 1 species